rnacentral:rRNA from 1 species
AACGAACGCUGGCGGCAUGCCUAACACAUGCAAGUCGAACGAGACCUUCGGGUCUAGUGGCGCACGGGUGCAUAACGCGUGGGAACCUGCCCUUAGGUUCGGAAUAACUCCCCGAAAGGGGUGCUAAUACCGGAUAAUGUCUUCGGACCAAAGAUUUAUCGCCUUUGGAUGGGCCCGCGUUGGAUUAGCUAGUUGGUAGGGUAAAAGCCUACCAAGGCGACGAUCCAUAGCUGGUCUGAGAGGAUGAUCAGCCACACUGGGACUGAGACACGGCCCAGACUCCUACGGGAGGCAGCAGUGGGGAAUAUUGGACAAUGGGCGAAAGCCUGAUCCAGCAAUGCCGCGUGAGUGAUGAAGGCCUUAGGGUUGUAAAGCUCUUUUACCCGGGAUGAUAAUGACAGUACCGGGAGAAUAAGCUCCGGCUAACUCCGUG